AACGAACGCUGGCGGCAUGCCUAACACAUGCAAGUCGAACGAGACCUUCGGGUCUAGUGGCGCACGGGUGCGUAACGCGUGGGAAUCUACCCUUGGGUUCGGAAUAACAGUUAGAAAUGACUGCUAAUACCGGAUGAUGACGUAAGUCCAAAGAUUUAUCGCCCAAGGAUGAGCCCGCGUAAGAUUAGCUUGUUGGUGGGGUAAUGGCCUACCAAGGCGACGAUCUUUAGCUGGUCUGAGAGGAUGAUCAGCCACACUGGGACUGAGACACGGCCCAGACUCCUACGGGAGGCAGCAGUGGGGAAUAUUGGACAAUGGGCGAAAACCUGAUCCAGCCAUGCCGCGUGAGUGAUGAAGGCCUUAGGGUUGUAAAGCUCUUUUACCAGGGAUGAUAAUGACAGUACCUGGAGAAUAAGCUCCGGCUAACUCCGUGCCAGCAGCCGCAGUAA
rnacentral:rRNA from 1 species